GAUUAACGUUGGCAGUGUGCCUAACACAUGCAAGUCGAGCGAUAUAGCGGCAGACGAGAGAGUAAUAACAAGGAACUUACCCCUUAGCGGAGGAUAGCCCACCGAAAGGUGGGGUAAUCCUGCAUAAUGUCGAGAGACCAAAGCCUUCGGGCACUAAGGGAGAGGCCUUGUUCCUAUCAGCUAGUUGGUGAGGUAAUGGCUUACCAAGGCGAUGAUAGGUAGGCGGCCUUAACGGGUGGUCGCCCACACUGGGAUUGAGAGACGGCCCAGACUCCUACGGGAGGCAGCAGUCGAGAAUAGUCUACAAUGGACGGAAGUCUGAUAGUGCGACGCCGCGUGAACGAAGAAUCCCUUCGGGGUGUAAAGUUCUUUUAAACGUGAGCAGUGCCUUUAUAUGAAUAGUAUAGAGGAGGGAUUUAAGCGUAUGAAUAAGCAACGGCUAACUCCGUG
rnacentral:rRNA from 1 species